rnacentral:tRNA from 1 species
GCCAAAGUGGCGGAACUGGUAGACGCGCUGGACUCAAAAUCCAGUGGGUGAAAGCUCGUGUGGGUUCGAGUCCCACCUUUGGUA